GUGUGUGUCAGUCAGUGUAUGUCUGUAAGUGAGUGUGUUUGUGUGUCUGUCAAGGAGUGUCUGUCAGUGAAUGUCUGUGUGUGUCUGUCAGUGAGUUUAUGUAUGUCAGUGAGUAAGUGUAUAUCUGUAAGUGAGUGUGUGUUUGUGUGUCUGUCAGUGAGUGAGUAUAUGUCUAUCAGAAAGUGUCUGUCUGUGUGUGUGU